rnacentral:lncRNA from 1 species
CCUAAGUUAUAGGCUUCACAAAUUUCUCAUGUGUCAGGCAAAAAUUUCCAAAUAGUGGCAGACACAUAUGGCAGCAAAUGUUGAAGACUUUGCAUGCAUGGUAAGCAAUUGUUGACAAAGCAAUGUGGAUGGAAAAGGUUUCAAACCAUGCAGCUGCCACCGAAAUUUUUUUGGAAGAAAUUCUUUGCCAUGCAAACCAACUUUGUGGAAAAUGUUGGAUUUGCAUUAAUGAGGAAGGUGAAAAAUUUCCUAUAAAUUGGAGGCCAAAGCAAAGGAAGAAAUGUGCCAAAGUGAGAGCAAAAACAAGUGCAAAAGUGUUGAGUGAAAACACGAGAGAUAGUGAGCAAGCACAAAGUGAGAAGCAGUUAGGCUUUCGUUUGUGCAGAAAAUUAACGAGAGAAAAAUAGAGAGAUUGUCUUUGCGUAGGCAAAUAAAAUACAGAGAGUGUAUUUGUUGUACUCCUUUUAUUCUCUUGUUGAUAUAGUAAAAGAAUUGGUGUGGGUUUGUGGACGUAGGCACAAUUGCCGAACCACGUAAAUUCUUGUGUCACUUGCACUUAUUAUUUUUGCUACAUUUAUUUCUUCUCAGUUUAAAUUAUUCUGCGUCCCACUGAUCCUGGCGGAAUUAGUAGCGGUCUAAUUUCCCAACAACUGGUAUCAGAGCUCCAGAAUUUAAGUGGGAGGAAUGGCAACAGACGAGAAGAUAUCCAAAAUCGAUAAGUUUGAUGGUACAAACUUUGGAUUUUGGAAGAUGCAAAUGGAGGACUAUUUGUACCAAAAGGACCUGUAUAAACCACUUCACGUAAAGCCGGAGGACAUGACCGACGACGAGUGGGAAUUACUUGAUCGAAAGGCUCUUGGCGCAAUAAGACUGACAUUAUCAAAGUCAGUCGCUUUCAACAUAAAAAAUGAGAAGACGACGGCAUCUCUCAUGGCGGCCCUAUCUAGCAUGUAUGAACAACCAUCUGCAGCAAAGACAAAGCAAUGUGGAUGGAAAAGGUUUCAAACCAUGCAGCUGCCACCGAAAUUUUUUUGGAAGAAAUUCUUUGCCAUGCAAACCAACUUUGUGGAAAAUGUUGGAUUUGCAUUAAUGAGGAAGGUGAAAAAUUUCCUAUAAAUUGGAGGCCAAAGCAAAGGAAGAAAUGUGCCAAAGUGAGAGCAAAAACAAGUGCAAAAGUGUUGAGUGAAAACACGAGAGAUAGUGAGCAAGCACAAAGUGAGAAGCAGUUAGGCUUUCGUUUGUGCAGAAAAUUAACGAGAGAAAAAUAGAGAGAUUGUCUUUGCGUAGGCAAAUAAAAUACAGAGAGUGUAUUUGUUGUACUCCUUUUAUUCUCUUGUUGAUAUAGUAAAAGAAUUGGUGUGGGUUUGUGGACGUAGGCACAAUUGCCGAACCACGUAAAUUCUUG